ACAGGUGUGAAGGUGGGAAGUGGCCUGAUGCAGGGCAGUGAAGAGCAGGCGUGAAGGUGGGAAGUGGCCUGAUGCAGGGCAGUGAACAGGUGUGAAGGUGGGAAGCGGCCUGAUGCAGGGCAGUGAACAGGUGUGAAGGUGGGAAGCGGCCUGAUGCAGGGCAGUGAACAGGUGUGAGGGUGGGAAGUGGCCUGAUGCAGGGCAGUGAAGAGCAGGUGUGAGGGUGGGAAGCGGCCUGAUGCAGGGCAGUGAAGAGCAGGUGUGAGGGUGGGAAGCGGCCUGAUGCAGGGCAGUGAACAGGUGUGAGGGUGGGAAGCGGCCUGAUGCAGGGCAGUGAACAGGUGUGAGGGUGGGAAGCGGCCUGAUGCAGGGCAGUGAAGAGCAGGUGUGAAGGUGAGAAGCGGCCUGAUGCAGGGCAGUGAAGAGCAGGUGUGAAGGUGGGAAGGAACCUGAUCUUUGCACGGGCUGCCAGGCUUCUGGUUCACACAGCCCCGGGCCAGUUUCCAGAACCCUCGCGCUUGGGUUGGGGAAAGAGACAUU